rnacentral:rRNA from 1 species
GACGAACGCUGGCGGCGUGCUUAACACAUGCAAGUCGAACGGAAAGGCCCUGCUUUUGUGGGGUGCUCGAGUGGCGAACGGGUGAGUAACACGUGAGUAACCUGCCCUUGACUUUGGGAUAACUUCAGGAAACUGGGGCUAAUACCGGAUAGGAGCUCCUGCUGCAUGGUGGGGGUUGGAAAGUUUCGGCGGUUGGGGAUGGACUCGCGGCUUAUCAGCUUGUUGGUGGGGUAGUGGCUUACCAAGGCUUUGACGGGUAGCCGGCCUGAGAGGGUGACCGGCCACAUUGGGACUAAGAUACGGCCCAGACUCCUACGGUGGGCAGCAGUGGGGAAUAUUGCACAAUGGGCGGAAGCCUGAUGAAGCAACGCCGCGUGCGGGAUGACGGCCUUCGGGUUGUAAACCGCUUUCGCCUGUGACGAAGCGUGAGUGACGGUAAUGGGUAAAGAAGCACCGGCUAACUACGUG